GCCGCGGGCCCGGCGCGCAGGCGCGGAGCGGGGCGGCUGCGCGGGGCCGCCUCUGUGCCGCGGGGUGAUUAGCGAUAAUUAGCGGAAAUGCAUCAUUGCAUGCACCCCAGAAGUGCUCAGAAGCGGAUGGGUUGUUGAGGCCGUUGAGCAGGACGGGAACAAAGAACUCCAGGUCAGAAGGUUUGUGCUGCCCUGGGAGAUAUUUGAUAGCACAAGAGAGAAUUCUGAGCAGUGGCUUGAUAUUACCAGGACACUUAAAAAAAAAAAAAGAAGUUUAGUUUUCUUUUUGAGAAACCUGAAAUCUUGAUGGAAGAUCUUCAAAAGUAAGUGCCUGAAUCCAAUUUGCUGAUGAGGAUCAGAUGGAGAUUUUCACCAAGAGGAGAGUCAAACUAAGGCCAGUGCUAACACAAGGUGGACUUGAAGAGACAGAAUUAAUGCUUGGAAAAAGUCUCUGCAAAGGGAAAAAUUAAAUUUAAUUCUGAAAACAGAAAUGUCCAGUUGAUACAAUCAGAACAACACAAAUGCAGAGGAAAUCAGUCUGGAAUCCAGAAGCUUCACCACAAGGUAGGAUUAGUUCUGAAUAUGAGCUUUACAUCACACUCUUGUGACUGUCAAAAACAGAAAUGAAAAGAGACUGGUCUCUGCC